AGGAAGUGGAGUGCACAAGUGCUGGAAUCAGCUGGCCACUUCGGCCCCAGCAGGAGCUAACUCCACUCACUCGGACCCGCUGCACUCCACCCCUCAUGGGAGGAAACGCACAGGUGAGUGGGUGCAGGAGCUGAGGAGAGCGUUUUUGGGCGCUGACAGAAGCAAACUCCAUGUGGGCCCUGCAGCAGCAUCUAGGGGGAGUGCCUGCAAUCUCUGAAGCCCCAGAGGAGUGUUACAACACUCUUUUAGCUCUGUCGUCUGCGGAGGGCUUAAGUGUUAACAGCUUAGUGGACCCUCUGUCUUUACACGUGAGGCGGCUGCCCUCUACCAGCGAGGGCGAAGGGUCGGUGUGACAGCAUUUUGUAUCCACACUCGUGGCUCCUCAGCUCUUGUCUGGCAUCCAGGAGAAAUGAGGUCACACGAAUGAAUUGAAGAAUUAUAAAUGUGGGGGAUUUUAUUGCCAAUGAAAGUGGCGCUUUUCACGGGAAGAGGAACCAAAAAGCAAACGGCGCAGGAAGGUAAUCUUCCCCUGAAGUCCGGCCGCCUCUGGCCAGAUUCUUCUCCAAAAUUAUGCUGUCAAGCUGUCCCUCUGAAGUCAAGCUGCUUCUCUCUGAUGUCCAGCCAUAUUCCCUGACAUCCAACUGCUUCUCCUCUCUGCAUGCAGGAUGGAGUUUCACUCUGUUGUCCAGGCUGGAGAGCAGUGGCCCGAUCCCGGCUCACUGCAACCUCCGCCUCUCAGAUUCAAGAGAUUUUCCUGCUUCAGCCUCCGGAGUAGCUGGGACUACAGGAGGGCGCAACAGCACGACCUGAAGAGAAGAGAGACACAGAAGGAAGAUGGCCACAUGAAGACACAAGGAGGAUGCCAUGUGACGAUGGAGAUAGAAAUUGGAGUGAUGGAUCUACAAGCCAAGGACCCGAAGGAUUGCCAGCUGUCAUCAGAAACUAGAAGACAGCCCUGGAAUAGAUUCUCCCUCAGAACUCUCCAAAGUAACCAACCUUGCUGACACCUAAAUUUCAGACUUACAGUCUCCAGAGGUGUGAAAGAUUAAAUUUCUGUUUUCUCAC